rnacentral:rRNA from 1 species
UACAGAGGUCCCAAGCGUUGUUCGGAUUCAUUGGCGUAAAGGGUGCGUAGGCGGCGCGGUAAGUCGGGUGUGAAAUCUCGGAGCUUAACUCCGAAACUGCAUUCGAUACUGCCGUGCUUGAGGACUGGAGAGGAGACUGGAAUUUACGGUGUAGCGGUGAAAUGCGUAGAUAUCGUAAGGAAGACCAGUGGCGAAGGCGGGUCUCUGGACAGUUCCUGACGCUGAGGCACGAAGGCCAGGGGAGCAAACGGG